rnacentral:rRNA from 1 species
UACGGGGGGGGCAAGCGUUGUUCGGAAUUACUGGGCGUAAAGGGCGCGUAGGCGGCCUGCUAAGUCGGACGUGAAAUCCCUCGGCUCAACCGAGGAACUGCGUCCGAUACUGGUGGGCUUGAAUCCGGGAGAGGGAUGUGGAAUUCCAGGUGUAGCGGUGAAAUGCGUAGAUAUCAGGAGGAACACCGAUGGCGAAGGCAGCCCCCUGGGUCAAGAUUGACGCUCAUGCACGAAAGCGUGGGGAGCAAACAGG